rnacentral:sRNA from 1 species
AUUUAUUCAAAUAAUUAUACAUAUAUUCACACAUUUAUACAUCUUCAUCUUCUACUUCAUCUUCGUCCGAGGACGAUAAAUUACAUCGGAAUUCGUCUUCUGGUUCAGCAUCCCCGACAUCGUAAUCAAGGAUUAUUGGGUUUAAGCCGCCUACCGGAUUUUCUAGUACAAGAUCUUCAAUUGUAGUGAGCAAAACAUCAUCAUCAUUUUCUGUUUGCAAAAGAGUUGGAUCAUUGUUUUCAUAUUCUCCAGAAAUGUUUCCCCUCGGAUAGACUUUUAAAAC